rnacentral:rRNA from 1 species
GACGAACGCUGGCGGAUUGCUUAACACAUGCAAGUCGAACUAAGUGGCGAACGGGUGAGUAACGCGUAAUCAACCUGCCCGUCAGAGGGGGACAACUGUUGGAAACGGUGGCUAAUAACGCCAACUGUCGGAUGAACCUAUAUGGCAUUAGCUAGUAGGUAAGGUAAUGGCUAACCUAGGCGAGGAUCCCUAGCUGGUCUGGUAGGAUGAUCAGCCUCACUGGGACUGAGACACGGCCCAGACUCCUACGUGAGGCAGCAGUGGGGAAUCUUCCGCAAUGGACGAAAGUCUGACGGAGCAGCGCCGCGUGAGUGAUGACGACCUGCGGGUUGUAAAGCUCUGUUAAUCGGGACGCGAUACCGGAAUAGAAAGCCACGGCUAACUACGUGCCAGCAGCCGCGGUAAUAC